GACGAACGCUGGCGGCGUGCUUAACACAUGCAAGUCGAACGGAAAGGCCAGUGCUUUCACUGUUUCUCGAGUGUCGAACGGGUGAGUAUCACGUGUGUGUUCUGCCUUUUACUCUGGGAUAAGCUUGGUAAACUGGGUCUAAUACCGGAUAUGAACUUCCUUUAGUGUUGUGGUUUGUAAGAUUUUUCGGUGCAAGAUGAUCGCGCGGCCUAUGAGCUUGUUGGUGGGGUGAUGGCCUACCAAGGCGUCGCCGGGUAGCCGGCCUGAGAGGGUGUACGGGCACAGUGGGACUGAGAAACGGCCCAGACGCAUACGGGAGGCAGCAGUGGGGAAUAUUGCAAAAUGGGCGGAAGCCGGAUGCAGCGACGCCGGGUGGGGGAUGACGGCCUUAGGGUUGGAAACGGCUUGCGACAGGGACGAAGCGUAAGUGACGGUACCUGAAGAAGAAGCAACGGCUAACUACGUG
rnacentral:rRNA from 1 species